rnacentral:rRNA from 1 species
AUUGAACGCUGGCGGCAGGCCUAACACAUGCAAGUCGAACGAGUGGCGGACGGGUGAGUAAUGUCUGGGAAACUGCCCGAUGGAGGGAGAUAACUACUGGAACCGGUAGCUAAUACCGCAUACCAUCGGAUGUGCCCAGAUUGGAUUAGCUAGGAGGGGGGGUAACGGCUCACCUAGGCGACGAGCCCUAGCUGGUCUGAGAGGAUGACCCGCCACACUGGAACUGAGACACGGGCCAGACGCCUACGUGAGGCAUCAGUGGGGAAUAUUGCACAAGGGGCGCAAGCUUGAUGCAGCCAUGCCGCGUGGAUGAAGAAGGCUUUCGGGUUGUAAAGUACUGUCAGCGAGGAGGCGUUACUCGCAGAAGAAGCACCGGCUAACUCCGUGCCAGCAGCCGCGGUAAUAC